UUAAUAGUGCCCUCUGAUGCAAAUCAUUGGGUUAGAUCUGCUCUCUUCGCAAGAAGAGGGUUUCCAUACACACCGUGAACUGUGGCUUCGGCCAUCACAAACUGUUAGUAAUGAAUGUAAUAUCAUAACAAAAACAAAACUUUUAACAACGGAUCUCUUGGCUCUCGCAUCGAUGAAGAACGCAGCGAAAUGCGAUAAGUAAUGUGAAUUGCAGAAUUCAGUGAAUCAUCGAAUCUUUGAACGCACCUUGCGCCCUUUGGUAUUCCGAAGGGCAUGCCUGUUUGAGUGUCAUGAAACCUCACCCCACUUGGGUUUUUGCCUGAGCGGUGGUGUAUUGGGUGUUGCCUUGCUAAAGGCUCGCCUUAAAGACAUAAGCACCUUGGAUGUAAUACGUUUCAUCCUUCUGGGUGGCUGAUAACCCCACAUAUUCAUGAUCUGGCCUCAAAUCAGGUAGGGCUACCCGCUGAA
rnacentral:rRNA from 1 species